rnacentral:rRNA from 1 species
UACGAAGGGGGCGAGCGUUGUUCGGAUUUACUGGGCGUAAAGGGCGCGUAGGCGGCCUUGUCAGUCAGGCGUGAAAGCCCCGGGCUCAACCUGGGAACGGCGCUUGGGACGGCGAGGCUGGAGUUCGGGAGAGGAGAGUGGAAUUCCCAGUGUAGAGGUGAAAUUCGUAGAUAUUGGGAAGAACACCGGUGGCGAAGGCGGCAUCCUGGACCGGCAUUGACGCUGAGGCGCGAAAGCCAGGGGAGCAAACGGG